UACGAAGGGGGCUAGCGUUGCUCGGUAUUACUGGGCGUAAAGGGCGCGUAGGCGGAUAUCUAAGUCGGGGGUGAAAGCCCAGGGCUCAACCCUGGAAUUGCCUUCGAUACUGGAUAUCUUGAGUUCGGGAGAGGUGAGUGGAAUGCCGAGUGUAGAGGUGAAAUUCGUAGAUAUUCGGCGGAACACCAGUGGCGAAGGCGACUCACUGGCCCGAUACUGACGCUGAGGCGCGAAAGCGUGGGGAGCAAACAGG
rnacentral:rRNA from 1 species